GCAGAUUCUUAGUGGACAGCUCUCAUAUCCCCUCCAGGGAAAAUGAUGAAAAAUGUCUUCAGAAAAAUAGCUUUAUGAAGGCAAGAGGACUUUUUGCACCUGCAAGACAUGUCUGAAAGCUCCUCAGGUCAAAACACAAGUAGUCAAGAGAUUUGUCCAUCUAAUUCAUCAUACUACUCUGAUCCAAGUGAGACCCACACUGGGUCAGCUCCAUCAAGGAGAAGAACAUUCCACCCACGUUUGGAUUCUGGAAUAUCAUCCUUGCUUCCAUCAGAUUCUUGUAAGUACCUCACUUGGCACAAGGUAGACAUGACGUUCAAGGAAGUCAACUGCGUUGCCCAAGAGUAAGAGAAGGAAUCUCUGAAGAAGAGCAACUUUUCAGACAGGUAGAGUGUGCCUUGCUCCCAAGGAAAAGAGUUCUUGAAAAAAACAAAUGGGAAACAUGGCUACAAGAAAACUGGGAAGACUGCAAGAAAAUCUCAGAAUCUGCUUGAGAAUCCGGUCCUUCUUCCUCCAUACACCCAUGGAACACUCCCAAACUCUGUAUGCUGCUCACUAAUUCUGAUUAAGGUCUUCACCCUCCCUACCUUGGAAAUUGCUACAACAUAAUUGUGUUUAAUUUGAACAUUUCAUUUCAGGGUUUGGGGGAUCCUUACCAAGUUGAAAAUUUUAACAGAAUUCUUAGAAGACUAAUUCGAGUUGAAACCCUCUGGUUAGUGGAUAAUUCACUGGUGGACUUAAGUGCCAUAAGAUUGCCAAGGGAUUGCUAGAGAACCCCUUUUACAGGGAGCUGCUAUUUGCUUCAGCAGGCAGAAUGCGUAGGUGGAGUGAGCUUUGGUGGCAAUGAGAGGGGCCAACAGAGGUCCUCAGGAGUGAAUUAGAUGAAGGAAAUUGAGCAUCCACAAAAAGGAAAGUAUUCUCCUGUUUGCCAAACUUAAAAAUGCUGGAUGGAAUCUUGAAGCUACCAGAAGAUUGCUUAUCACCAGAAACCAAUAUUUUUUCAAAAAUAUGCCUUGUAUCCUAAUGCAGUCUGUAUAGAAAGAAAGCAAUCAUCAUUGUUGCUAAAAGCUAAUAAACACAGGACAUGCAUGAUU
rnacentral:lncRNA from 1 species